GCCCCCCACUGCCCCAGAGGGACCUGUCCCAGUGCCAGGUGAGGGGUCCCCAUGUGCCCAAUCCCCCACUGCCCCAGAAGGGCCACGUCCCAGCGCCGGGCAAGGAGUCCCCAUGUGCCCAGCCCCCCCUACCCCAGAGGGGCCAUGUCCCAGUGCCAGGUGAGGGGUCCCCGUAUGUCCAGCCCCCCACCACCCCAGAGGGGCCUGUCUCAGUGAGGGGUCCCCG